rnacentral:rRNA from 1 species
UACGGAGGAUGCGAGCGUUAUCCGGAUUUAUUGGGUUUAAAGGGUGCGUAGGCGGGUUAAUAAGUCAGUGGUGAAAGUUUGCAGCUUAACUGUAAAAUUGCCAUUGAUACUGUUAGUCUUGAGUAUGAUUGAGGUAGGCGGAAUGUGUGGUGUAGCGGUGAAAUGCUUAGAUAUCACACAGAACACCGAUUGCGAAGGCAGCUUACUGAGUCACAACUGACGCUGAGGCACGAAAGUGUGGGGAUCAAACAGG